rnacentral:rRNA from 1 species
CAGCAGCCGCGGUAAUACGUAGGGUGCGAGCGUUAAUCGGAAUUACUGGGCGUAAAGCGUGCGCAGGCGGUUUUGUAAGACAGGCGUGAAAUCCCCGGGCUCAACCUGGGAAUGGCGCUUGUGACUGCAAAGCUAGAGUGCGGCAGAGGGGGAUGGAAUUCCGCGUGUAGCAGUGAAAUGCGUUGAGAUCGGAAAGAACACCAACGGCGAAAGCACUCUGCUGGGCCGACACUGACACUGAGAGACGAAAGCUAGGGGAGCAAAUGGGAUUAGAUACCCGUGUAGUCCCUGUCUCUUAUAA